rnacentral:rRNA from 1 species
AGCGAACGUUAGCGGCAGGCUUAACACAUGCAAGUCGAGCGAGAAAGGGGCUUCGGCCCUGAGUAAAGCGGCGGACGGGUGCGUAACACGUGGAUAAUCUGCCCUUCAGUGGGGAAUAACGUUCCGAAAGGAACGCUAAUGCCGCAUGUCACAGCAAUGUCUCUGGACAAAGUUGGAAAAGGGGACGCCCGCAAGGGGUUCUCGCUGGAGGAUGAGUCCGCGGCCCAUCAGCUUGUUGGCGGGGUAAUGGCCCACCAAGGCGAAGACGGGUAGCUGGUCUGAGAGGAUGACCAGCCACACUGGGACUGAGAUACGGCCCAGACUCCUACGGGAGGCAGCAGUGAGGAAUAUUGCGCAAUGGGCGAAAGCCUGACGCAGCAACGCCGCGUGUAGGAUGAAGUCUUUCGGGACGUAAACUACUGUUAGAGGGGAAGAAACUCCGGUUACGCCGGGGGUGACGGUACCCUCAGAGAAAGCCACGGCUAACUCUGUGCCAGCAGCCG